UGAUCCAGGGAGGUAGUGACAAGAAAUAACAACCUAUGUCCUUAUGGACUGUGGAUUGUAAUGAGUUUAAUUUAAAACACUGAACGAGGAACAAUUGGAGGGCAAGUCUGGUGCCAGCAGCCGCGGUAAUUCCAGCUCCAAUAGCGUAUAUUAAAGUUGUUGCAGUUAAAAAGCUCGUAGUUGAAUUUCUAGGCAGUAGCUACUCGGAUUUCAAUUCAGUAUCUGCUGUCUAUCCGACACUGAACUAUGACGGGUAUUAAGUUAUCCCCAUAGCGAAUUGUCAUUUUACUUUGAAAAAAUUAGAGUGUUUCAGGCAGGCAAUUGCCCGGAUAUCUUAGCAUGGAAUAAUGGAAUAGGACUUUGGUUCAUUUGAUUGGUUAUUGAAUCAAAGUAAUGAUUAAUAGGGACAGUUGGGGGCAUUAGUAUUUAAUUGUCAGAGGUGAAAUUCUUGGAUUUAUUAAAGACUAACUUAUGCGAAAGCAUUUGCCAAGGAUGUUUUCAUUAAUCAAGAACGAAAGUUAGGGGAUCAAAGACGAUCAGAUACCGUCCUAGUCUUAACUAUAAACUAUACCGACUCAGGAUUGGCGAUGUUUCAACUUCGUCAGCACUGUAUGAGAAAUUAAAGUCUUUGGGUUCUGGGGGGAGUAUGGUCGCAAGGCUGAAACUUAAAGGAAUUGACGGAAGGGCACCACCAGGAGUGGAGCCUG
rnacentral:rRNA from 1 species